rnacentral:rRNA from 1 species
GACGAACCGUGCGAACGUUAUUCGGAAUCACUGGGCUUAAAGCGCGUGUAGGCGGGACGGCACGUCGGCCGCUAAAAUCCCCCGGCUUAACCGGGGAAGGGGCGCCGAUACGACCGCCCUGGAGGAACGUAGGGGGAGCUGGAACUUCCGGUGGAGCGGUGAAAUGCGUUGAGAUCGGAAGGAACGCCCGUGGCGAAAGCGAGCUCCUGGACGUUUUC